CAAACCAAAGCUGGCGACCGACGCACGGGUGAGUAACACGUAUCCAACCUGCCUCAUACUCGGGGAUAGCCUUUCGAAAGAAAGAUUAAUAUCCGAUAGCAUAUAUUUCCCGCAUGGGUUUUAUAUUAAAGAAAUUCGGUAUGAGAUGGGGAUGCGUUCCAUUAGUUUGUUGGGGGGGUAACGGCCCACCAAGACUACGAUGGAUAGGGGUUCUGAGAGGAAGGUCCCCCACAUUGGAACUGAGACACGGUCCAA
rnacentral:rRNA from 1 species